ensembl:lncRNA
GUGAUGGCCACUGUGUAAGAACCAGCGAGUCCUGCUGGUUCUGUCUUUUCAUCCUUGAACACACUCCAUGACCCCUAGACACAAGUGAAUUGAACAAGUCAAAGGGUUUUAGACAAGGAGGCCAAAAGUUCUGAACAGCCCUCUGCCAAUCUUCAAGGUCUCUAGUCAAGAUAGACCUGGGAUAGUGAACCUUGCUGAUAAUGUAGAAUAAAGUAAUAUAAGCCUAGAUCUUUCUGUGGAAUUCAAGAAUUCCAGCACAGAAGAGGAAGAAAUAACAAGCAAGGUAUAAGACACCUGGUUGUGAGGUCUAUUCAAAUGCUCUGGCUCACACCAGAAACUUCAUGACACUGUUGUCACACUACUAUUUGGGGGAACCUGAUAUCUAUGUUCCCAGUCCACAGUCACUCAUAUUAAUCUCCAG